GACAGAGGUGCCAAGCGUUAGGCGGAAUCACUGGGCUUAAAGCGUGUGUAGGCGGAAUUGUAAGUACCUUGUGAAAUCCCACGGCUCAACCGUGGAACUGCUCGGUAUACUGCUUUUCUUGAGCCACUUAGGGGCUGUCGGAACAAACGGUGGAGCGGUGAAAUGCGUAGAGAUCGUAAGGAAGACCAGUGGCGAAGGCGAGUUUCUGGACAGUUACUGACGCUGAGGCACGAAGGCCAGGGGAGCAAACGGG
rnacentral:rRNA from 1 species